ACUAGGGCUCUUAUCAGUUCUUCGAAGGAGCUGCCCGAACACAGCAUAUCUGGUACUAUGCCAGGAAUGCAGCUUUUUUCUUAUCUUACUUUUUCCCAGUGCUUGUGAGACAUGCUGCUGCUUCUCAGGGCAUGUCCACAUCUG